rnacentral:misc_RNA from 1 species
CCAGGCAUAGUACGGACAAUGUGAGCGUUAUCGUGGUUGAUUUAAGAAGGAAUCAACAGUCAUGAACAAGAAUAAUAGUACAUAUAGUAAUUAGAACUGUUAUAAAAAAAUAAUGAGAAGGAAAAAAAUGAAAAAUAUGGAGUAGUUUUAUUUAGCUUUAAAUUGUAUAUUUGUAAAGUCUCCUUCUGAAAGAAGGGGAUAAAGGAUCAAAGGACAAUCGAAAAUUUCCGUAUGGGAUUUGGUUUUUGAGGCUGGAGAAUGAUUAUUGACGUAGAGUUGUGGUGGGGAAUACUAAUUUUUAUGGUUCUAAA